GACUGUGGUCGAAAUUGCUGAUCGAACGAAUUUUCAUUUGGAAUUAUCAGAGAUCGUGCAUACAUGAACGUAAAUGAUCGUAUGUAAAUUUGUGCAAAUUAGAAUGAAAUAAAAAAGAAACGAGUUUAUAAAACCGUGGUAAAAAUGAGUAUAACGGAGUUCUGGUUCACCGAUUCGUCAAAGGAUGAGAGCUUGGUAAACUCGCCAGGAAUAAAAAAUACAUUGA